rnacentral:rRNA from 1 species
AUUGAACGCUGGCGGCAGGCCUAACACAUGCAAGUCGAGCGGUAGAGAGAAGCUUGCUUCUCUUGAGAGCGGCGGACGGGUGAGUAAUGCCUAGGAAUCUGCCUGGUAGUGGGGGAUAACGUUCGGAAACGGACGCUAAUACCGCAUACGUCCUACGGGAGAAAGCAGGGGACCUUCGGGCCUUGCGCUAUCAGAUGAGCCUAGGUCGGAUUAGCUAGUUGGUGGGGUAAUGGCUCACCAAGGCGACGAUCCGUAACUGGUCUGAGAGGAUGAUCAGUCACACUGGAACUGAGACACGGUCAAGACUCCUACGGGAGGCAGCAGUGGGGAAUAUUGGACAAUGGGCGAAAGCCUGAUCCAGCCAUGCCGCGUGUGUGAAGAAGGUCUUCGGAUUGUAAAGCACUUUAAGUUGGGAGGAAGGGCAGUAAAUUAAUACUUUGCUGUUUUGACGUUACCGACAGAAUAAGCACCGGCUAACUCUGUG